rnacentral:rRNA from 1 species
GACGAACGCUGGCGGCGUGCCUAAUACAUGCAAGUUGAGCGCUGAAGGUUGGUACUUGUACCAACUGGAUGAGCAGCGAACGGGUGAGUAACGCGUGGGGAAUCUGCCUUUGAGCGGGGGACAACAUCUGGAAACGAAUGCUAAUACCGCAUAAAAACUUUAAACACAAGUUUUAAGUUUGAAAGAUGCAAUUGCAUCACUCAAAGAUGAUCCCGCGUUGUAUUAGCUAGUUGGUGAGGUAAAGGCUCACCCAGGCGAUGAUACAUAGCCGACCUGAGAGGGUGAUCGGCCACAUUGGGACUGAGACACGGCCCAAACUCCUACGGGAGGCAGCAGUAGGGAAGCUUCGGCAAUGGACGAAAGUCUGACCGAGCAACGCCGCGCGAGUGAAGAAGGGUGUCGGAUCGUAAAACUCUGUUGGUAGAGAAGAACGUUGGUGAGAGUGGAAAGCUCAUCAAGUGACGGUAACUACCCAGAAAGGGACGGCUAACUACGUG